GAUGAAGAACGCAGCGAAACGCGAUAGGUAAUGUGAAUUGCAGAAUUCAGUGAAUCAUCGAAUCUUUGAACGCACAUUGCGCCCGCCAGUAUUCUGGCGGGCAUGCCUGUUCGAGCGUCAUUACAACCCUCAGGCCCCCGGGCCUGGCGUUGGGGAUCGGCGGAGCCCCCCGUGGGCACACGCCGUCCCCCAAAUACAGUGGCGGUCCCGCCGCAGCUUCCAUCGCGUAGUAGCUAACACCUCGCGACUGGAGAGCGGCGCGGCCACGCCGUAAAACACCCAACUCUUCUGAAGUUGACCUCGAAUCAGGUAGGAAUACCCGCUGAACUUAAGCAUAUCAAUAAGGGAGGA
rnacentral:misc_RNA from 1 species